rnacentral:tRNA from 1 species
GUUGCAUUGAUGAAAUGGUAGACAUAACGCUUUUAAGCUGCGUUGUCCGUAUGGGCUUGUAGGUUCGAGUCCUACAUGCAAUA